AUACGUGUGGGGCAAGCGUUGUUCGGAAUUACUGGGCUUAAAGGGUACGUAGGUGGUCUUAUAAGUCAGGGGUGAAAGUCGGUGGCCUAACCAUCGAAUUGCCUUUGAUACUGUGAGACUUGAGUAUGCUAGGGGAGAGCGGAACGUGUAGUGUAGCGGUGAAAUACGUAGAUAUUACACGGAAGGCCGGAGCCGAAGGGGGCUCUCUGGGGCAUAACUGACACUGAGGUACGAAAGCGUGGGGAGCGAACGGGAUUAGAAACCCCAGUAGUCC
rnacentral:rRNA from 1 species